rnacentral:rRNA from 1 species
AUGAACGCUGGCGGCGUGCCUCAUACAUGCCCGUCGAGCGAACGGACGAGAAGCUUGCUUCUCUGAUGUUAGCGGCGGACGGGUGAGUAACACGUGGAUAACCUACCUAUAAGACUGGGAUAACUUCGGGAAACCGUAGCUAAUACCGGAUAAUAUUUUGAACCGCAUGGUUCAAAAGUGAAAGACGGUCUUGCUGUCACUUAUAGAUGGAUCCGCGCUGCAUUAGCUAGUUGGUAAGGUAACGGCUUACCAAGGCAACGAUGCAUAGCCGACCUGAGAGGGUGAUCGGCCACACUGGAACUGAGACACGGUCCAGACUCCUACGGGAGGCAGCAGUAGGGAAUCUUCCGCAAUGGGCGAAAGCCUGACGGAGCAACGCCGCGUGAGUGAUGAAGGUCUUCGGAUCGUAAAACUCUGUUAUUAGGGAAGAACAUAUGUGUAAGUAACUGUGCACAUCUUGACGGUACCUAAUCAGAAAGCCACGGCUAACUACGUG